AUCAUAGCUCCGUUUUUACCUAUUUCCCCAUCUGCCACAGUAAAUCCAGGCACUAUGUGUAGUCAGUGCAAUCUGGUAUCAUUUUCUACUCCUCAGGGGACCUUGGUUCAAACAAAUUCCUCUUACUCUCUGUAAUAGCCAUCUCUGCCCAUGUUCUCUGCUGUGAGGUAGGUGGCAGCAAGUCUAGCAGGUAAUGCUUUAACCAAGUGCAUUUCCUUCUGUAAAUCCCUCUAGGAAAUCUAUGCUCUUCUCAUCAGCUGUAUUUUCUGUUAAUGAUUCUUAAUUGAUGAUAGGAAUUGGACUAAAGCUGUUUCUGUUGAUCCUGCUGUGUUCAGCUACUUUCCUUACCGUUCUAAUUCUUCUAUUGUUCCUUGCGUAAAGAAGGGAAAUAUUACUCUUUUAGCACCUGAUGACAGAUGCAGAAGGUGCAGGGACAUUAACUUAAGUGAGGAUGGCAGAUGGACACCAGGAUAGGAAUUCUUGAUAGUUGUGGCAUGUCAAAUGACUGGGUGUUAAACAGAGAACCCACUGUUGACUUCAAAUAACCGUUUCCAGGUGGAUUGUGUAAAAGGCUAAUGCUAUCCAAGAGACCCAGGAAAACUGCUGUGUUUGUUCAGGAACUAGUUCAGAGCUUUCAAGGAGCUUUUGACAGUAGCAGAUGUGUCCUUGUGAUAUCAGCUAUAUGCAGAAUGAGAGAUGCUGUGGAAUAAAUGGUGCUGCUGCUCCUACUCCCUUCCCGUUCUGUGCUGGGACUUGGGAAGAAGAGGAGGGAAGUGUAUUUGUAUUCUUUUGGGGGUGGUGGGGGGAGGAAUGGUUGCAGUAUGGUGGGGAAGUAUAUGAUAAAUUUCAGAUUCCUGUUCACCUCUUUUAAGAAUAAAAUUUUAUUUUAUUUUUGUCCUUUUUUUUUUUUUUUUUUUCUUACUGUCUUUCUAUUACAUCCCUUAGCAGCCUUGGCUUCUAGGGGAAAACAUUGCUUGGUCAUUGCUGUUUACCUGACUCCAUGUAUGGAACUGUAAUUUUAAUGUCUCUUUUUCAAAACCAUUUGUACACGAAAUCAUUCCAUGAAUGGCUGCCUUAUAAUUUUUCCACUUUAAUUGUGAACGAUUAAAAUAAUGUUGCCAUUUUCAAUUUGUUUUAUUAUAUUAAAUUUU
rnacentral:lncRNA from 1 species